rnacentral:lncRNA from 1 species
AUGUUGUUGGUGGUUUAUUCUGUAUUUGUUUGUUAAUAGAAGUAGUAAGUUCAAACUCAAAUCUUUUGGUAGCUUUGUUGAUGACAUCGUGAGUUUGUCAUCUCACCUAAACUCACGACCUGACCAAUAGCAUCUGUAAAAAUAUGAAAUGGUGUUAGUUUGCUAUUUUUUUUGCUUUAAACAUUAUAUACAUAAAUAGGAGGAAUGGAAAAUACCAAUCAAAAUGUUUUCAUUCAAUUAACAUUCAGAAUGUCUGGAAAGUUAGCAAAAUCAAAGUAAAACUCCUCAGAAAUUGAAGGAAUACGACUUAUAACAGUCGUAUUCAUGAGGGACAUCUUGAAUGGAAGUCUGGUUGCCCGGUACUUUCCAAUAGAUUUUGCAACUGUAAAAUUUUCCACAGUUCUCCACUCUCCAGUUGUGAUGAGCCUUUGAAACUUGUUGACUUGUUGUUUCUUGACAGUCGCAUGAAUCAAGGUACCUUGUAUUUAGCAAAGAAAGAGUAUGAACACAUAAUAAUUACAGAAGAAAAUAUCUACUAUUAGUAAAAAGAUUCUUACACAUGUAUCAGCAAGAAUCAUCUCGACAGUUUCUCCGGAGUAUUGGAUGUAUUGAGUCCACGAAUGGACGAUUUUCACUUGAAUCUUCCAUUGAGUUUUGAAAGAUUUAAUUGCGUUAAGUUCGGUGAUGAGAUGAGCCAUUGUUUUAGAGGUAUAGAGGUGGUUUGGUAGCUUAUUGAGUAUUGAGAAUAUCGUUGAAGAUCUAUAUAUAUAAGAGAUAGAACGUCUAGGGUUAGUCCUAUUAGAUAGGAAUAAUAUCUUUGCAAAUCAAUCAUUUGAAUAGAUAUUUUAGGUAUAUUCUUGAUUGAAGAUGUUUUGAAUAUAUUUUUUUUGAUUUAGUUUAGAUUUUUUGGUAACUAUAGAUGACUUAAAUUUGUUAUGACAUUGAUUUGAAUUCGAAAUUAAAGAGAUAUGAUUGUUUAGGUAUUAUCUUGACUUAUUUGUUAUUGUAAUUAUGUUUAGAUUAUCAAAUGGCAACUGUGAGGAUCAAUACAAAUCGUGACGCUCAAUCCAAAUCAACCGUGAGGAUCAGUUUGAGGAAAAUCAACCGUGAGGAUCACUUUUAGGAAUGGCCGGGUCAAGUGUUACGAUCCGCAUGUUUAUCCGAAAGCUAGCCCAUCAGGCUCUAAAAAUAACCGAUCCAAUAGCCCAUGAUCCAUGGAUCUUUCUCUACCAAAUUAUUAUUUUAGCCUUCCACGUGUUUUAAAUUUUAGUCUUAGAUUGAAAAAAUUCUAAUGGCAUUCAUUGUAAUUUUUUAUACUUUAUAAGGUUAUUUAAAUUAGAAUGAUUCCCAAUUAAUAGUAUAGAUUGGUAGAGAACAAUUUUGGUAUUAGUUACUCUAAUGAUCAAUGCAGUGAAGGUGUUCAAUGAAAUGCUUAAGAGAGACUUUAGGGAAAUUUACUUUCACCUGAAGUGUGUUAGAUAUAAGGGUUUAGUGCUUUUUCAUCAUGAUCCCCAAAGAACAGAAAUCACAAAGAAUCUAAAGCUGUUGAAUCAAGGAUACACUGUGACGUCUUUUGAUAAGCAUGUUGCCCUUUCCUCUCUCAAAGGCUCUCUCUUCCCGCUGAAACGGUAACCUAUAAUCCCUUUGGAUGCUUAAGCAUUAUUAGUAGGCUAAGAAUGAGUAAGGUGUCUGAAUGUUUUUACUCUCCAUUUUCGAAUGAUAAAUUUGUUACGGUGUCUAUUAUAUGCUCGGGGAAUCUUGAUGAGAAUUUGGUUACAUUCAGGUCAAGCUACAUUUUUGUACAAGGUUUUUGGUGCCCCUCUUGAAAAUUUAUUCUUCGAAGUUAACAAGCUAAAUAUAUGACGUGUUGUGUUUACUCUCAAAUGAUAAAUUUGUUACAGUGUAUGUAUAUGCUCGUGGAAUCCUGAUGAAAAAUUGGUUACAUUCACAGUUCAAGUUACAUUUUAUUUACAAACACUAGGUUUCAGGCUAUGUCUUCUGAUUACAAUUCUCUAAUAGUUUCAAUGGUGCAAGGUUUUGUAUGCCCCUCUUGAAAAUUUAGCCUCUGAAGUUAACAAGCUGUAUAUGUGACAUGUUUGCAGAGUUCAAGCAUAUAUCAGUGUGAAUGAGCUGGAGUCAACGGUGGUUGUGAUAAUAGUUCAAGCAUCUAAUUUAAUACUCUGCCCUAUCAAAUAUCUUUGAUUAAUCAAAACGAAUAAUUAGAGGUGGCAAUAGAUUAUAAAUUCAUAAUAUAUAUUAUUGUUGAGAACCCCUCCGUCAAUAGAUUGGUAGCUACAUAGUUGACUUGGAUUAAACUUUUAGCUGAUUUUAGAUCUAUUUUUCCUUUGGCGUUCUUGUAUUGGUUCAUCGUAUGUGAUUGACGACGAGUAGUUGUUAUGGCUGAAGCAUUUGUGUCGUUUGGAGUUGAGAAGCUUUGGGAUCUCCUGAGUCGAGAAUCUGAGCGAUUGCAGGGUAUUGAUGAGCAAGUUGAUGGACUAAAGCGUCAGCUGGGAAGGUUACAGUCGUUGUUGAAAGAUGCAGAUGCCAAGAAACAUGGAAGUGAAAGGGUGAGAAACUUCUUGGAAGAUGUCACAGACCUUGUUUAUGAUGCUGAGGAUAUACUUGAAUCCUAUGUUCUGAACAAAAGUAGAGGAAAAGAAAAAGGGAUCAAGAAGCAUGUGAGAAGACUUGCUUGCUUCUUAACGGAUCGCCGCAAAGUUGCUUCAGAUAUCGAAGGAAUCACUAAGAGGAUCUCUGAGGUGAUUGGGGAUAUGCAGAGUUUAGGGAUACAACAGGUCAUUGAUGGUGGUCGUUCGAUGUCUCUUCAGGACAGACAAAGGGAGCAGAGGGAGAUCCGACAAACCUACGCUAAGAGUCCUGAACACGAUCUUGUUGGGGUGGAGCAGAGUGUUGAAGAAUUGGUUGGUCAUUUGGUGGAGAAUGAUAAACAUCAAGUGGUUUCUAUAUCUGGGAUGGGCGGUAUUGGUAAAACGACUUUGGCCAGACAAGUUUUUCAUCAUGACAUUGUCCGACGUCAUUUUGAUGGAUUCGCAUGGGUCUGUGUUUCGCAACAGUUUACGCAGAAAGAUGUUUGGCAGAGGAUCUUGCAAGAACUUCAGCCACACGAUGGUGAAAUUUUGCAGAUGGACGAAUAUGCACUUCAGCGUAAACUCUUUCAGUUGUUGGAAACCGGUAGAUAUUUGGUUGUCCUCGACGAUGUAUGGAAAAAAGAAGACUGGGAUCGAAUAAAAGCAGUGUUUCCGCAGCAAAGAGGUGAGCUCUUAUGGUACAUAUAUGAAGCACUUAGUCUUUUUAGUUCAUAUAAGUGAUUGUUAAAAGAAAUAUAUAGAAUAAAUGCAUUUUUAUUCCUUAACAUGAGAACACAAAUAUAUUCCAGGUUGGAAGAUGCUGCUUACUUCUCGGAAUGAAGGUGUUGGGAUACAUGCUGAUCCAACAUGUUUUACUUUUAAAGCAAAAAUCCUGAAUCCUGAUGAAAGUUGGAAGCUCUUUGAGAGAAUAGUAUUCGCUAGGAGAGAUGAAACUGGUACAUAUCUUAUUAUAUAAUGUUUAGUUUCACUAACUUUAUUUCCCUUAACUAAAUAAGAUAAACAAAUUUUAAGAAAAACAUAUUUGCACAUACUAAUUAUCAUGUGUAUAUUUAAACUAUUCCUUAAACUUUUCUUUUCCUUAACCAAAAAGCAAAAUUAAAAAAAAAAUAUAUAUAUAUAUAUAUAUAUAUAUAUAUAUAUAUACAUAUUGGUAAUUUUUCAAACAAAUUUCAACUUUUUUUCCCUUAACGAAUGAGAAAAACUAACUAAAAAACGUAUUUACGUAUUUUGACAUGUAUCAAAAAAAGUAAUUACUAAUCUUAAUUUUUUUUUUUUUCUUUCGAUUUUUUAGAAAAAUCGAAUAUCUACUCUUUAUGAUUAACUAGAUAUGGACCCGUGCGUUGCACGGGUUACCAGUCGAGAUUAUCAUUCUUAAUAUUUUUAUUUUAGUUUUGUAAGCUUAACUAAAAUUCUAUAAACAUAUAUAUUUUAAAAAAUGCAGCAUAAUUAUUUCUAAAUAUAGAUUUAUUAGCAUAAUUUGCAAUAUAAAACAUUCUUUAUAGUUAUGUUAUACUAUUUAUUAAAUCAUAUAAUAUAAAUAUUGGCCUAUUUAUAAAAUUAUAUAAUUUUUUGCUUAUUAUAAGUUAUAAAGUCAUAAAUGUUCAUAUGUUGUAUUAUUGAAUUUAAUAAGUUAUUUAUAUCCAUCAGAAGAGUGUGUUACAUAAACAUAUAGUUACGUAAACAUAUAGUCUGAGUUACGUAAAUAUAGAUUUUUUUAAAAAAAACAUUUGACGUCAUAAUAAAAUUGUGACAAUAAAAAAAAUAUAUAUAUAUAUAUAUAUAUAUAUAUAUAUAUAUAUAUAUAUAUAUAUAUAUAUAUAUGAAACCGUCUAUAUCCAUGUCAUAUAAAUUUACUUUAUAAAUAUGAAAUAUCCUCAACAGAAAAAAAAACAAUCUUAUAAGGAAUUACAAAAUACACACUAAAUAAUUUAAGACUAAAAAAAAAAAAAAAAAACAACAUCAGGCUAAACAUUAUCUAUUUGCAACAUGACUUUUAUCAUUUUAGGCCCAUAUUACCAAUUUCUUUGUUUUUUCUUCUUUCUAAUUCUCAAAAAUCUAUAUAUCUUUCAUUAGAUUUUUCUUAUUUUUGGUCGAACUCCUCUUUCUUUAUCUUUCUCUCCCUCUCAUCGGAUUUCUUCACCACAAUAGUUUUAUUUAUUUAUUUAUUCUCUAUCUCCAUUUCUCGUAUUCGUCGGACAUCACUAUCGAGUCUCACUACUCUGACCCACUACCACAACUGAAUCUCACUACUAUCACAAUCACCACCACCAUCAAUACCGAAUCUUGCUAAUUCUGACUCACCACUUUUAUCAAUAUUUACCGCCACCACCACCACCACCAUCAACACCAACACCACCGUUAUCGCCUCUUAUCCUCUUUCCCCAACUUCUCUUAUUACUCCACCUUCUUUAUCUCCUCCGACAUUAGACCAAACCUCUCCGACAAUAACUCUAGUCUAUGUCUAUCGUCGUUCAUAAUUAUUAAUUUGCCUUAAUUGUCAUAUAUUCAUUAGAUCUGAAUAUCACAUGCUAUUUUUAGAAAAACAUCGUGAUUGAAAGUAUUUUUUUAUAAUUGAUAUUAUAUAACAUCGUUAAGAAAUUAGUUUGCUUGAUGAGAAAAUAUGAGAUAAUCUAUUUGUUUAUAUAAAUGUGACUAUUUACUAUCUUUUUCUUAUAGGAUUAAUAACUGAUUGUAUAAUUUUCUUAAUUUUUUUCUAAUUUUAAAUCUUUUUCUUGUUAAGUUAGUAACUUAUAAAUAAAACGUUUAGCAUAAUUUUAUAAUUUCGAUUUUUAUGGAUAUAUACAUAUAAUUUCUUUAUAUAUAUGUAUAGGUUUCUUAUUAUAAUCUUUUUAUAUGUUUAAAACUGUUUAAAUUUAUCAUUUUUUAUAAUUAUUUUUUAAAAACAAAAUUUUUGUUUGCUAGAUGGAAAAAACUCUUAUGAAAAUAUAUGUACAAUUUCCUUAUAAUUAGCUUUUUACUUUUUUUUUAAAAGGAAAAUUUUAUUUGACACAUGUCAAAAUCUCAGAUCGAAAAAGUUCAUACGUGUCACGAUCUCUUGAGUUAUUAACUUUGAAAACCAUACUUUAGAUAAUAAGAUUCAUGGUUGGUUCAAUUAAAAUUUAACAUUAUAAAAUCUCAGAUCGAAAAAGUUCAUACGUGUCACGAUCUCUUGAGUUAUUAACUUUGAAAACCAUACUUUAUAUAAUAAGAUUCAUGGUUGGUUCAAUUAAAAUUUAACAAUUUAAAAUCAACUAAAUUUGUAAAAAAAAAAUGUAUUGAUUAAGGGUCCUAAUUAAUCUAGUUCAAAUGUAAAAUUAGUCCAAUAAUCUAAUAAAUUUUAUUUAGCAGCUCACAUCUUGAAAUGUAUUAGCUUGUGAUAUUGUGCAGAAGUAAGGCUUGGUGAAGAAAUGGAAGCCAUGGGAAAGGAAAUGGUCAAACAUUGUGGAGGACUACCAUUAGCUGUUAAAGUGUUGGGAGGCUUGUUAGUUAAUAAACAUACAGUUCAUGAGUGGAAAAGAGUUUCUGACAAUAUCGGAGAUCAAAUCGUAGGAAAAUUGUGCUUAGAUGACAACAGUCUCAAUUCGGUUAACCGAAUAUUGUCUCUGAGUUAUGAAGAUUUGCCAACGCAUUUAAAGCAUUGCUUCCUUUAUCUAGCCCAUUACCCCGAAGAUUACAAGAUAUAUAUGUGGAAUUUGUUCAAUUACUGGGCUGCAGAAGGAAUUUGUUAUGGAUCAACCAUCAGACAUAGUGGAGAAGACUACCUACAAGAGCUAGUGAGGAGAAAUUUGGUUAUUGCUGAAAAAAACAAUUUGAGUUGGAGAUUUGAAUAUUGUCAAAUGCAUGACAUGAUGAGAGAAGUAUGUUUAUCAAAAGCCAAAGAAGAGAACUUCCUACAAAUUAUCAAAGUCCCUACUUCCACCUCUAGCAUCAAUGCUCAAUCUCCUAGUAGAUCUCGCAGACUCACCAUACGUAGUGGUAAAGCCUUUCAUAUACUGGGACACAAAAACAAUAAAAAAGUCAGAUCUCUUAUAGUUUUGGGACUCGAGGAAGACUUUUGGAUACAGUCAGCUUCAGUCUUCCAAAAUUUACCAUUUCUCAGGGUGUUGGAUCUUUCUGAGGUGAAAUUUAAAGGAGGGAAGUUACCUUCUAGUAUUGGAGGGCUCAUCCACUUGAGAUUCUUGAGCUUAUACGAUGCUGGGGUAUCUCAUCUACCUUCUUCUAUGCGGAAUUUAAAGCUUCUCCUCUAUUUAGACUUAAGUGUUGCUAUUGGGGAACCAGUUCAUGUGCCAAAUGUUUUGAAAGAGAUGCUAGAGUUGAGGAACCUUGUCCUACCUCAUAAGAUGCAUGAUAAAACCAAGUUGGAAUUGGGUGAUCUAGUGAACCUAGAGCACUUGUGGUUUUUCUCAACGCAACACAGUAGUGUGACAGACCUCCUCCGUAUGACCAAGCUCAGGUCUCUCUCUGUAUCUUUGAGCGAAAGGUGUACUUUUAAAACCCUAUCGUCAUCUCUCCGUGAAUUGCGAAACCUCGAGACGCUUCAUUUCUUUUCUACGAGCAAAACCAUUAUGGUUGAUUAUGUGGGAAAGUUCGAUCUGGAUUUUGUUCAUCUAAAAGAGUUAGGAUUGGCAGUACGUAUGUCAAAGAUUCCUGAUCAACAUCAAUUCCCUCCCCACCUUGAACACAUAUCUCUAUUUCUUUGCCGCAUUGAGGAGGAUCCAAUGCCGAUUCUAGAAAAGUUGCUUCAUUUGAAGUCGGUUAAAUUAGGAUCUGACGCUUUCGUUGGGAGGAAAAUGUUGUGCUCAAAAGGUGGAUUUCCUCAAUUACGUGCUCUAGAAAUAUAUGAAGAAUUAGAGUUGGAAGAGUGGAUAGUGGAAGAAGGGUCGAUGCCAUGUCUUCGUACUUUAAAUAUACUUGAUUGCAAAAAGUUGAAGGAACUUCCUGAUGGACUCAAGUACAUGACAUCCUUAAAGGAACUGAAGAUUAGAGGAAUGAAGAGGGAGUGGAAUGAGAAAUUGAUACCAGGUGGAGAAGAUUACUACAAAGUCCAACACAUUCCCGAUGUUCAAUUUAUCAACUGUGACGAUGAAUAAGGAAUAACCAGUAGCAGGUAAAAAUAAAAAUGGUAUAAUGUUCACUUUGUUCAUUUGUUGGUUUUGCAUCCUAUUUGGAUUCGUGUGAAAGUCAUUUGGACAGUCUCCACUAUUAUACAUUGUCUAACAUCUAUCAUCUCUGAAAUAGAUGCAGGAAAGAAAAAGAAGCUAGCUUUGAAAGAUUCAUCUGCUGAUCAACAGGUUUUCGCGAAGAAUCUCUGGAAUUGCUUAUGAAGAAUACAGAUUCUGAAGUACUACGGAUUACGUUGCCAGUCUUGGAGCAUCGUUAUGUUGUGGCUCAGAACUAUAUUAGAGAAAAUAAUGCUUUUAUUGAUGUUUGUUUUCGAUGUGGAUGUAUGGAACAUGCUUGAGAACUCUUUCACAAAAUGGAGAAACGAACCUUGGUUUUACUGUAAAAAGUAAAAACUGGAUAUUUUAUGUUAAUAAGAAUUGUGUUUUGUUUUCUCGUUUGUGAUUUAACACAAUUGCUUUUAUUUAACAUUUAGGCUUAAGUUUUGUUAGCUUUGCACCUCUUUUACUGUGUCUACGCAUAGGCAAGACAUGGUUGAACCACGACGAACAAAACUGAUGUACAAUAAACAGAAUAAUCUCAUUUCCAAAACUUCUGGCAAAACAUUAUAUUUUCUCAGGGGAACAUAAUACACAGACAAGAUUCCUUGGACUUUACGGGUUUGUAGCAAGUUUGUUGAAGGCGGCGUGAACUCUCUCCUCCGUGAACAGUCUAUGGUUUUCAUAGAAAUCCAAUAUCUCCAUUGCAAUAUUCUUCACCUACCAAUAUGUUCACAACAUACCGAUGAAUCAUUAAACAAGACCAAUAAGGCAAUAAUUCCUCAGAGAAUUAAAAGGUGGAUAACAGUGCAUAGACUUACAAUGUUCAUGUCGACAGAAAGCUCUUCAAACCAAGUCCUUAUGUCUUUCUCUUUGUGUACAGAAGCAAUGUAAAUGCAAGCAAGUGUGAUGAGAAACGGCGGAUGUAUAAGGAUGAGAUCCAUUCUGUAUGUGUCGUUGACAAGACCCCUAUCGUUUCCAAACAAAACUUAAAGCAUCAAGAGAGCAUUUACUUUUUUGCUUGCAUAUCAAAACCUGUUUAGCUCUAUUCCAAUUAAAGAUUUGUCAGGUGAUGGUAAUUGUUAUACAAUUGCCUUCUUGAUUACAACAACACUUCAUCCCCAAGAUUAAUAAAAGACAAAUUUUGGAUACUUACCAAGUUAAAUGGGUCAUACUUGUGUCAUUGAUUCCAGAAUCCUGCAAGAACCUGCAAGUAAAGCAAGAAUAGUAAUAAAACAAAAUGCAUAGAAUAAAUGCUAAAGGAUUUUGAUAUCAACACAUAAGAUCUUAAGCAGAUGGCUUACUCAGGAAGAGAUCGGUAUGGGUGGAAUACAACAAGAUAGAAGUUCAAAGCUUCCAAGACCUUCAUCUCCAUUUCCAGAAUAUCUUUGAUCUCAUAUCUAAACUUUUCAUCAGCAUCUACCGAGAGUGAAGGAUGCAAUCUCAUCAGAAACUCAGACAAAAAAACUCAAGAAAGUUUUGAAGCAGAAAACAAAAAAAGAAUUUACAAAGUUUUUUCAUGUAGAAGACAAGAAGUUUGGCAUGCACCACACUCUCUUCUGCUUUGCAAGCCAAAUACAAGCAGGUGGGAGCAACAAGCCGAGGCUCGUAUUCCGACAAACUCUUUCUGUCAAAACACACAACACUACCCAUAAGUCAAAUGACCGAGCCUCAAGCUACACAACGAUGAUCAAACAAUCAGAAGCUAGAACAAGCCAUACCUUGUGUAAACGCGACGCAUAUACGUUACUGCAGUUGCAAUAACUCUGAAUAAUAGAAGUGCUAAAUCAGUCAGCAUUGUUCAAAGGGUCGUUACACAUUUCAUAUCUCUUUUAAGAACUAACAACGAAAGACUUCACCUUUGCCUAAUCUUAAUGUUUUGUGCCAGUUUCGAUAUAUCUGAAACACGAACAACAAGGAAAACAAGCUUAAAUCCAAUCAAAACCUCAAGAUAAGGACAUGAUUCAUGACAUUAGAGAUAUUAAAUCCAAUCUGGAAAUUAACAAGGUAAUCAAAUCCAAUGAAAACAUACAAUUAGACAUAUGAAGCUUAAUGAGUCUGAAAUCUUCAACAGAGAUUCCUCUCUGAGCAUCAAGAGGAUGAACAACAUUAACCUCUUCUGGGUCCUUAAGCUCUUUGCUGUGAGAAUAAAACCCAGAAAACGAAAUCAAUCAGGAACAUAGAAAUUGCAUAUAAAAAGACGAUCUUUAAUCGUUGAUUGAAGCUUACUAGUGCGUCGAAGUCCAGAAAUUGGAAGCCAUAGCUUCUUUCUUUGAUCCUUCAACUUCAAAAAUACAAGAUUUUUAUUUUUAUGGUGUGGAUAAUGUAAAGCAUAAGAAGACCACCAAGGAUAAAUAAAAUAAAAAAGUAAACUUUUUUAAUUCAUUAUUAUUUACUAAAAACAGUUUUUAAAAGUCUUAUAUGAAAGUAAAUAAGUCAAUUUUAUAAACUUUUUUCAUCUUUUGUCAUCUUCAUCAAUAUGACCUUUGUUUUUUCACAUUUUUGCUUCUAGGAGAGGUUUAGGUUUAGAUUAGGGGAAACAAAACCCAUUUUGAUGAUCAAAUAACAAUAGUGUAUUUGUGUUUACUUUAAGAUUAAUUGGUUUGGUAGAAUUAACAACAGUGUUACAUGUUUGCCACAAAGCUAAGAUGGGCAAUUGUGAAAGUCUCUAAUCUUGUUUUUUCUGUGAGAUAAAUCUUGGAGAUGGAAGCGAUUCCCUCGGCUGCUACGGUUUCAAAGCCAAUUUGCUGAAGGCAGAAUUCACUUUUUCCUCUGUGAUUGUUCUGUAAUUCUCAUAGAAAUCCAGAAUCUCCAUGGCAAUGUUCUUUACCUGCAAACCAUUGACCCAUGUAGAGCUUUCACCGUCACUAAGAAUACCGAAAGGUCAUAGCUUUUUGCUUAACUUUUAGAAGAAUGACUGACCAAGUUCAUGUCCUCAUGAAGAUCUUCAAACCAGGCAGUGAUGUCUUUCUCUCUGUGGACACUUGCUAUGUAUAUGCAUGCUAGCGCUAUGCGAUACGGAGGGUGUACAAGAAUGAGGUCCAUCUUAUAAGUAUCGUUAACAAUUCCCCUGAAACACGAAAACAAAACUCGGUUUUCCUAUGCUUUUUACAAAGGUCAGAGAAUUUAGAUCUUAGUGUUGGAACUAGGAAAUGAGUUCUGAGCAAAGUUUCACAUGUAGAAAGACUUUACCAUGUAAUUUGGUUCAUAUUUACAUCGUUUAUUGCAGCAUCUUGCAAAAACCUGAGAAAACAAAAGAAGGAAGUCUUGAAAUGAGAGUUGAUUUUCUGACUACAAGGAUCAAGGCACACAAAACUCUCACCAAGGAAUAUAAAAUUGGUCUAAAAUUUUACAGGAUAUAAUGAAAAACAUCAAGAGCAUUGAAUGGGAAGACUGCAAGGUUUUACAUGUAUCAUCAUUUACACUUCUAAUCAUCUCCUCUGUUUGCAACCGCAGACAAUAAGGCAAACACUUCUGAAAAGCGGAUAAGAGAGAUGAGUGGACAUACUCAGAUAAUGACCGGUAAGGGUGAAACACAACCAGAUAAUAGUCUAGUGCUUCUAAGACCUUCAUCUCCAUUCCUAAUAUAUCUUUUAGUUCAUAUUUGUUGUACUCAUCAGGAUCUGCAAAGAAAUAAGAACCGUUGUCGAUAAGUCAAAAAACGCAUAUUGAAGGGAAGGUUCUCUUAUGAUUUAGCACAUUGAAAAAUCAAAACACAGUAGAAGAAGAUAUUACACAAUCUUUUGAUGUAAAAAACAAGAUUCCUGGCCUGCACAAUGCUUUCUUCAGCUUUAGAUGCCAGGUACAAGCACGUAAGAGCAACAAGACGAGGCUCAAACUCUACCAUACUCUUUCUGAGACAGUAUAAUAUCAAAAGGAAGAUAUUAGACGCAGUUAUGGUUUUUGUUAGCAGAGAUGCAACAUAUAGAGACAUUGGCAUGACAAGAAUUUAACUCAUUUCAUUCCUCACAUACACAAAGAUGCACUUUGAUGUAUAAGAUCAUAUCAAAAUUACAUUGCAUACCUGAUAUAAACCCGUCUCAUAUACGUAAUUGCGGUAGCCACAACCCUACAUAAGUAUUGAAAACAAGGCAAUGAUUCAUAUUAAAUUCUAGGUAACAACAGAUAUAGAGCUAAUUAUUUCCACAGAAGCAAAACAAAAUAAUGGAACAACUGCAAAAGUAGAAUCUCUGAUAUAGCAAAAAUUGGAUCCCCAAAGUGCAAAAAACCAACCUUUGCCUCACUUUAAUGUGUUGAGCCAAUUUCAUAAUAUCUGAAACAACAAUAAAGGCAAAAAUACAAAGAGACUUAAACUCAACAGCAAAACAAACACUUUCUUUGAUCAAUCUUUAAAAUAUUUUCAAAGUAGAGACAAAAUUUGCUAAAUUAAGUAGAAAAAAUUCGAAGAAUUGAGAAGAAAAAGAUUUUGUACGAUUAGACAUAUGGAACUUGAUGAGCUUAAAAUCCUCAAUUGAAAUUCCACGUUCUUUAUCAAGUUCAUGAACUACAUCGACUUCUUCUGGAUCCAAAAGCUGUUUACUGCUUCGUACAAACGCAAAAACCAAACAAAAAAUUUCGAGAAAUUGAAAUUAGAAGUUGAGUUGAAGGAGAAGAAGAAGUGAAUUUUGAUGGGUUAAGGUGAAAAGAACGUUUACUAGUGAGAUGAAUUCCAGAAAUUGGCAGCCAUUUUUUCCGAUAGACCGUCGAGUUUUUGGUAAGGAGGAGAAGAAGAAGCUUUUUGCUUUCAUAAUAAGUUCAACAUUUUUCUGUUAUCUGUCAAAUCUUUUGGUUGGUGGUCUCAUGAUCUAUCACAUCUCGUUGCUUUUAUCUGAAAUUAUAUUUAAGGCUCGGCCCAUUAUCGGCCCAAUAAGCAUAUCUGUUGUUAGUCGCUAGGCCCAAUAAGCAUAGCCUUCAUUUCCGAUUAAUCGCUAGACGUAUAUCGAACGUCCGACUAACGCCUACCGAUUUUUCGAACAAAGAUCGCAACAAACACAAUUACGCAAAGUAUAAAUCUUUCAAGGUUGCUCAAUGCUCACCGAAAAAUAGCUUUUGCAGCUCUGAUAUAACAUGUUUGUUGUUUUUUUGAAUAACAGAACAUCGAUAAAAUUUGAAAUUCGUUGAUAUAAAGAUGUCAAUAUUCAAGCAAGAAGAAAAACUUCAAAAGCUCCAAGUGUAUUCAUAAAUCCCAUAAAUAUCUAAGUAGUGAUUGAAUAUGUCAUUUCAACCGGGUAUAAACAGUUUCAAAAGGAUUAAAUUUGAGUUUCAUUUUUUCGCAUGAAAGCUACAAAAAUUCUAGCUUUAUACCAUCAGCCAUCCUAUCAACGAUUUUUUUUUUUUCCCACAAGUUUUCACAUCAUGUAUUGUUCCAAAGCUUGAUCAGUGAUUUUCAUCUAACAAUAAGUUUGGGUGUUCAUAAAAGAAUUUUCCUUUGCCUAAUACACAUGUUCAUUUGUUUUACUGAAAUCGAUCCACCAAAUAAAAGAAAAUGUGUGAAAUUUUACAAAAACAUUUCCCUUAAUUUAUCUAGGUGGUCAUGACUCAUUGGAUUGGAUUUGGAGAAAACAAAAUUCAAUUACUUUUUCUUGCAAAUACCAGGUUAACAUAAUUGUCCGUCUUCACAAACAAACCCAACUAAUCCUAGGAAGAGCUGACUCAACAAAAAUGUAACCCAACAUAUUAAAUCCUAAACAGAAAAACCAAAUCUUUCCUACCAAAACUUUGUUUAUAAUGAGAAUUAAACUUAGACACAGAAUAAUCCAUACUCCUUUAUCAAUUUUUUUUUCAAACAUAUUAUAUUCAUAUUAAUAUUCGAGAACUGACCAUACAUGUUUCUCUCGUUCAAUAUUUGGUACAAGCCAAAUAAGUUGACUACAAUCUAAAAACGCAUGAAAAAACGCAUGAGGAAGGAACAAACCAAAUAGGUUGACUACAAUCUAAAAACGCAUGAAAACGCAUGAAGAAAGAGUAUCGUUUAUUCUGUGUCUAAGUUCAUACUAAAUUCCUAUUAAUACUCAGAACUGACCAUACAUGUUUCUCGCGUUCAAUAUUUGGUACAAGCCAAAUAAGUUUACUACAAUCUAAAAACGCAUGGAAAAAACGCAUGAGGAAGGAACAAGCCAAAUAGAUUGACUACAAUCUAAAAACGCAUGAAAAAGAAGUAUCGCUUAUUCCAUGUCUAAGUUUAAUUCUCAGUUUCUCAUUAUCAAAAGAAUUUAAGAGGAGUUAUUAUUAUUCUCCAAUUAUAGAAUGUGAAUUCUUUGGGAUAUGCGCUAACACAAAGAAACCCAAAUUAAAAUCUAAUUUACUCAUUAAUAAAAGGUUAGUGGAGAAUAAAUCUCUCGAAGAAAGAAAGGAAAGGAAGUGCAACGGACCAUGUUUGACACGUGAGAGUCAAAAAGGUAAUUAAAGAAAAAGUCAUCAACACACACACUCUCUCUCCGUCUAUAUAAAGCAGCUCUUCUUCACAGUCCCCACAAAGUCCUCUUCCGUUGCCUUUUCGCUUUCUCCGUACACUUGGUCUUCCUUCUCGCGAUCAAACCCUAGGUCCCGCCAUUGUUUGUCCCAGGCUUAAAUCGAAGCUCCAAUUUCACUAAUUUCAGGUGAAUCUUCUUCUACAAUUUCGUUUUCGUUUUGUUUAUUGUCACGAUUGCGUCUAGAAACAAAGUGUUCUACAGUGUUUCGGAGUGUGUAGAAGCGAAAUGUGAAGUAGAUUUUGUUGUCUCUUAGUUCGUUUUGCUUGUAUGUGUGUAGUUGAUGAGGUUUCGUCUACCGAAAUGAUCGGGAUUUUGGAAAUUACUGUCUGUGAUUUGGAGAUUUUUCUGCUUUUACAUGUCAAGGAUUUUUUCUUUGGGGUUUUCUGUGAUUAGUUUGAUUCUGACAGUUUUGUGUUUAUGAAUCACAGGUGUUGCUUUUUUUCCUCUGGAGCUUGGUGAUAGAUACUAUGGAUCCUGUUGCUGAACCUAGCCCUGUUGUUGACCCACUUACUGUAUGUUUCGAUUAUGGGGUUUCUUCUCCUUUUCACUAGUUGUAAUUGUGAUUCUUUGUGUGGUUUGUUCUGUUUUUGGUGUGGUUAAAGUGUAAUUUUGGGUUUGGUAAAUUAUAGGUUGGGAAUGCGUUUGUCAGUCAGUACUACCACGUUUUGUAUAACAUGCCUGAGCAUCUGCCCCGGUUCUAUCACGAGAUCAGUAAAGUUGGGCGUGUUGGACAGGACGGAGUCAUGCAAAAUUUCUCUACCUUGGAGGUAAGUAUUGUCAGUGGUUUAGCUGACUUUGGUUGAAUGAGAGUAUUCCUUUUCUUUGAUGUGAAGGAUUAUUAGUCUAUUUACUUACUUGAGUAAAUAACAUGGGGUUGGGCUGGAGUGUCAAUUGGUUUGAUUGAAAUUGGAUGUCAGUUUUAAGUAACUUGCUAAAAGUGUGUCUCAUUGAUGUUUAUUCUUUGUGCAGGGUAUAACUGAGGAGCUUAAGACACUGACUUAUGGAAAUUCGGCUGAGAUAACCAGUUAUGAUACCCAAGCAUCUCACGAUGGGGGUUUCCUCGUCGCUGUUACUGGAUACUUCACUCUAAAUGAGAGGUCGAGGAGGAAAUUCACCCAAACUUUUUUCCUUGCUCCGCAAGAAAUUGGGUUUUUUGUUCUGAAUGACAUCCUCAGAUUUGCCAAUGAUGAUGCUAAGGAUACUGUUCCAGAGACCAUAGAAGGGGAAGUUGUUUCUGGGAUAAACUCUACAAGACCCAGUGAUAUUAAUGGUAAGUUAAACGUAUACUCAUUCUCCAUCACUUUGUUUUUUAGUUUCUUCUAACGCACAGUAUAUUCCUAUAUCCUUAGUUACAGGCAAUAAGGGCUCGGAGCAAGCUGCAUGUGUUUCGGUGAAUUCUGUUUCUAAGGAAGUGUCUAAACCCUUGAAUGAUGAGAAUGCUAAGGAUAAUGUUCUGGUACCUGAGAUUGUCAAUGAAGUUGCAGAGAUUGAUAUAACUCGCAAAGAAGUUGCAGAUGAUUCACCGAAAAACUAUGACCCUGAUGAUGGACUUGAAGAUGUUCCCAAGAAAUCCUAUGCCUUUGUGGUAAUUAGUCACCGAAGAGGAUUCAUACUCGAUCUUGUUACAUCUCAUUUUAGGCUUUACUAUAUCACUUCUGGGGUUUUCUAUUGAUAAUUAUUUACUUUCAUAACAGUUGAAGGUUACGAAAGAUAAAUCUGGAGUUCCAGCUGGCUCUGUACCUUCUCCAAAGAAGAUACCUAAAGACCAAGAACAUCAAGCGCCUUCAGAUCCUUCUACAGGCCAGAUACUCAAAGACCAAGGUCAACAAGCAUCUUCAGAUCCUUCUCAAGUGAUAGAAUCUGAUACAGUUUCUGAGUCUGUUGAUGCUGCUGAAAAUGGGCACAAUCAGGAAGGUAGUAGUUCACAGUAUAGCUGAUCCUCAGGUUUUCAAUUAUAAUACUUGGUGGUCUAUAUUCUCUUAUCUAUUCAUGACAUGGUUAUAUCCUUCUUUUGUCUUUUUUAUUAGCGGUAGCUGAGGGUACAUCUAUUUAUGUGAAACAUCUUCCUUUUAAUGCCAACAUCGACAUGCUUGGGGCCGAAUUUAAGCAAUUUGGAGCUAUUACCAAUGGUGGGAUUCAAGUCAUAAACCAAAGGGUAAGAUUGACCAAUCAACUAACAUUAAGUAUUGGAAGCUUGAAUCCCUUAUUCGGGGAUAAAGAAACACUGAUCUUACAUAAUUUAUUGUUCUGAAGAAUGAUAGUUUACUGUAUGACUGGCAGGGCCUUGGUUAUCCUUAUGGUUUUGUUGAGUUUGAGGAGGCAGAUGCUGCCCACAGAGCAAUAGAGGUACAUAUUCUAACGUGGAAUAUAAUUUUCACUUUCUUGUUUAGCAUUAUAGAAAACCAGUACCAACUUUAUUAGCCUAUUAGGUGUCUUGGGCUGUUGGGCAUAUGAGUCUUAACGUUUAAAUCGGGUAUAAAUAUGAAAUCAUUAAUGAUGCAGGCUUCACCUCUGAUGAUUGGUGGACAGAGAGCUUUUGUGGAGGAGAAGCUAUCGACAUCAAGAGGUGAGUUGAUCUAAGUAACAAAGCUUUGAUAUGGUAAUGUGAAGAAGAGGAGGGUGAUUGUUUGUUUGCUUGAGUAACAGGGAACAGAGGAAAUGGAAAUGGUGGAUACGGGAAUAGAAAUGUUGGAGUGGGAAUGAGAGGAAGAGGAGGUUAUGGAUAUGGCUACGAUUACAGGAGGGGAGGUAGAGGUCCUGGAGGAGGAGGAAGGUCUUUUAACCGUAGAGGCAAUGAAUAUGUCGCCAGCAUCAACUCGUACUAGAGCGGGGAUUGGGUUCUUUUGUGGCGGAUAAUUGAUUUUUGGAAUGGUGGAAAGAAGAUGGUAGCAAGACAGACAGACUUGGUAGAUAUCUCUCUCUUGGGUAUUCAUAUAUUAGUGAAAGGUAAAAGAAAAAAAAAAUGAUUUGUGGUGAUAUUAAGGCUUAUGAUUUGUAAGAUAAGACGUUUCUUAUUCGAUAUUAUGUGGAGGUUAUUAAAUUUAUGCAAAUGCUUUUGUUUUUUUGCUUUUUGUUUUUUAUUUUGCUGAUUAUGAACCGUGUGCCGUGUGGUAUUAAAGCGUUUUGGAACAUGAUAUAUUUCUACGGACGGAUCCUUCUUUGACCGGGACAAAAACACUUUAUAUAUUCUUUUAUACGCUCUUGUCAUACUUUUUUAAUCGAGACUUCUCUGUUUGGUCAACUACACGUUUCUUUUUAAGCUCAUGAGAAAAAAAAAACUUUAGCACCUCUUAUUCUUUUAAGCUUGGAGGAAGAAAAAUAAGAGAAUUGGUGAAAUGGCAAGAUUCGCUGAACCUAAAUGAUUGAGUGACUCUAGUCAAACACAUAGUAUGAUACCUUUAAGACUCCUUAGGGUUGGUAAAGUUGAGUUUCAGGAUGAACCAUGGAAAGUGAGAGAAAGUGCAUUGACUAGUUGACAUGAGCUGGAAAAACUGAGCUAUUUCGACUAAACUAUAUAGAUAAAUAGCUCAGCUGAGUUUGAAAGACUAUCUGUUAGCUCAACUAGCUAAAUAAGUUUACUGACACUUACUCGAGUUAAGUUGACUGACGUAGUCUUUGGCUCGAUGGUGGUUUAGGCUUCUUGGGAAAGUUACGUAACCACUAAACUGUUACUCAUACCAUUGGAUCAGAUGGAACAGAUAUAUGAUUCGACGAAUGCGGACAUAUAAUUAUGGGAGUGGUUUGUUUAGAUGGCAGAUUUCGAUGAAAACGGUUCCUAUAUGAAAGGUCUCUUAGACGAAUUUUGGCGAUUCAUGUGAACCAAAGAAAACAUGAUCUGAGGAAGACGCCUCUGGAAAUUUAAAUAGAACGUGUCUUGGUUUAAAUAGACGGCUGGAGUUUUGAAGGGUGUCACAGAUAGGGAGGGGUUUGGAGAUCGGUUUGAAUCACCAAGACUCAACCAAAUCCUCAGUGAUCACUCUUAGACCCACACGGGCUGGUCAAAUCUGGUGGCUGUUUACGACAUUUUUAGACUGGUAAUUUUGAGUCAUUACCAAAUCAUAGUCGUUAAGGCCAACAAUCUCAGAGGCACAUAAGAACAACAAGGUGCAAUUCUAUCUUCCUGAUAUUUGACAUUUCAACUUGCCAGUUAGUAUAAGAAGACGAACUAAGCUAAUGUUCAACAGGACACUGCAAUACCAAUCAAACCCCAUGACUAGAAGAUACUCAUAGAUUCAAGACUCAAGAGGUUGGUCAAAUCUCUAGAACAAAUCUUAAUCACACAACAGUUAAUAAAACUGUGGACCAACAUUUCAAAAGGAUCAAAAACUAUAAUCUAUACACCAUUCAAUAUCCCUCACAAAGAAGGAAACUAAACAACCACGAGAUCACCAGCUUGGCCUAUAAAAUCCAGUUCUCACUUCUCAGUAUCACCACCCAAGCAAGAGGAAAAUAUCAAACUAGACUACCAUAUAUAAAUCACAAUGGAGAAGAAUAACACUAAAGCCAAGCUCCUUCUGGCACUAAUUCUGAUGGCACUUCUACUUUCAGGCGCUGAAGGAGGGAGGUAUGUACCUGAGGAGCAAAGUGAGGUCAUUGCCAAUAACCAGAAACUCUGGGGUUGGUUUCAUCUUCCACACUAUGGCUGGCCCUUUCAUAAAGGAAGGUUUGGUCAUUUUCAUCUCAAAGCUGGCCUCAACAAACAGAACCCCGUACACGGAUCUCACACUACAGGUGAUAACAAUGUUGCUGCAUCCACUGUGUUUCCAUGACUAGGUGACGAUGCAUACUAGCACAAGGUGACCUUAAGGUGUGAGUAAUAAGGCAGAGCAAUAGAGCACCGAUUGAUAGCUUCUGUAAUCUAUCUUUUGCACUCUAAUCCCAGUGCAUGGAGAGUUCUAAUAAAUUUCUCUUAAAAUUCCUACUACUUGCUUAUGCUGACAUACACAAAUACUUAACGUAUUUAUCAGUAAUGUGAGAUGAGAACUGGCAUACACGACAUGAUCAAGAUGUAGAAUUUUAGUAUAGAUCCAAUAUAUAUUUUUUUCCAUAUAUCUUUUCAUCUAUCAAGAGAGAAGAGUAUCAACUGAGAGGUUUGCAGAGACCUAAAUUACAUAGAACAACAACUAAAAAACCAAGAGUUAUUACCAAUGAUAUUCAUCAAAUGAUAGGGCCUUCUGGCUUCUUGAUGAGUGAAUAUUUCUCUUCCACCAAAGCAAAAUAUUCAAAAUUAUGAAGUCAAUGAAGUCCCUUCAAUGUUCCAAAGUGAAUAGGAGGAUAGUAUGACAAACCAUUAGACCUGUGAGAGUAAAAACCAUAUUCCCGUUUACUUAAUUAAGAAUAUAAUUCAAAUCUAGUAAUCUCUACAAGCGUAGAUGAUAAACUAAUCAUUGUUUGACCUACAGGGUGGCUGGUGAUGUUGCCGGACCACUCAUCUAGUGGCUGGAAGGAAUACUCGGAUCAGCUCUUUCGCAGUAACCUUUUUCCUACAAGUCGGGCAUUUGCCCUGGCGAGAUAUUGCCAUCUUUAUACAUCCCUUGCAGAAGAUGUGACCGCACUUAGUUGACAUCUCCUCUGUAAAGGGACACAUGCAGAUUGGACAUGUAAACUUUGGCUCUUCUGGUGGAGGAGCUGGAGCCUUUGAUCUAGACAUUCUCUGCACAAGAUAAAAGAAAUUCGUGAGUUCAGACUAAGUAGCAUAACUGCAUAGUAUGCUUUCAGAAAUCCGCAUCUCUCUUACCGAAGACAUGUUGACUUCAUCAUUUACAUAUGCAUGCUCACAGUCGAUGACAGGUUCACUAGAAGGAACCCUUCUGCGUUUGUUGCUUAUGUUGGCAGGCAAUCUAGUCGUACCUCCUGCAAUUACCCGGCCACGUAAGAGAAAAUUUGUAAGCAAUGAACAAAAACAAAUACAAAGUGAAAUCCAACAAUCAAACUCUCUGUCUCUCCCUACUACUUGAGACAUGACACUGAACCAGAAGAGUAAAAUUGAUUUUCAUAUCCCUUCACAAUAGAUAAAAACUGACCUGACUCUACAUCAACCAUCAAAGGUCUCCGACGUGCAUUUCUCGAUUUGCUUUUAGCCUGGUAUCAAAACAAAACAAAAUUAGUGAACCUACUACACAAACAAAUCCCCUCCAUCACUGCAAAAAAAAAACAAAAAGAUAACAGGAAGCAAACAUACUUCAGCAAAAGCACUAGCGGAUGAUUCAAUAACAUCAUCUUCAAUAGCAUCGACAUCAAUCAUUGUAGGAGCAGGCUGAGACGGUGUAGUAGGCACCGUAGGAGAUCUUACAGAAGCAGAGGUCCCUUCUUGAUCUCCAGGUACAGCAUUCAGAUCAAUCACAGCUUUCCUCCGUCGAUUUCCUCGAGGAACUCUCACCUCUUGUGAGUUCAUCUUUCAGCUCAAAGUAACCUAACCUUUGUACCUGUAAGUUUCAUCCAAUAAAACACAAUCUAAUUUACUCCUCAAAGUCUUGUAUGCAAAUUCAAAUCAUUGCAAGCAAAAUAAUAAAAUUUACGUUUUCACAGAAAAAAAAAAAUUCAAACUUUCCACAGAUUUUCAUGUAAUUAAAAUUUCAAAAGAACUCAAUUUCAGCAAAAAGGGAAAAGAAUCAAUCUCCCAGAAAUUCAUCGAAUUUACGAAACAACUAAUCCGAUCCUAAAUUCGAGAAUGAUCGUUCGUAAUCAAACAAACAAGAGAAUUGAAUUAGAUUAGGUUUUUGAAAGUGAAGAACCUCUUCGAUCAAUUCGAUUCGACGUUCGAGGUAAUCACCGUGAGCUGAAUUUCAAUCGGAGAAAUCGCCGGAGAGAAUUUUGAAAGCCAAUCGAUUUUGAGAAAUCUAGGGUUUUUGAAUCUUUUGUUGUAAGAGAGAGAGAAAAACGCGAAGGUGGUAAUAAACGGUGAGAGAUUUUUGAGUUCGUAAUAAAAAGCCACGCGGUCGGUGACACGUGUCGAAAUCGCAGUUCCACAAUACGAAACGGUUUUUGUGUAGUUUCGUCGUGGUUUACAGUGUUGUUUCCUAGAAAAAGCAAACCGUUUGAGAUGUUUAAAAAGCCCAUUGGGUUUACGUUAGCAAUGACGAUAACAAUUUAUACAACUUUGUUCAGCCCAUUUGAUUGGAUUUUAAAUACACGUACAGAUAAAUAAAUAAAUAAAAACUAAUAAAUAUUGUUAACUUAAAAGAUUCUACAACUUUUAAACUUUUUGUAAAUCUAUCCACCACAGUAACAAUUAUGCAAGAGAAUUUUUUCAAGUAUUAUGCAGAGUGUAAUAGAGUUAUGAGACAAUGUUAUUGUGGUGAAAAAUUUAGAACCAAAGUUUUUUUAUAUUAAAUAUAUUGAUCACCACAUUAAAAUAUGUAAAAGAAACUUUCAAAGAACUCUGCAUAUUGCAAUGUAGUCUUUGUGUUCAACCAUGAAAGAUUUUCGGAGGUAGAAAAUUUUGUUACAUGGAUCAAUUUUUUAAUAUAAAUUAUAUAAAAUUUAUUAUUAAUUUUACUCAUAAAUAAUUUACAUUUAAGAGAAAAAUAUCUGAAAAUCAACCUAAUUAAUAUUUACAAUUUUUUGUUAUGGUCCACAAAGAUUAACAAAUGCAAAAAAAUUGUGGGAUUUUCUUAUAAAUAAUUAUAAUAUUAGAUCAUUAGUUGAACAUUUUUUUAAAUAAGUCAAAAUUUUUUAUUUUAUUACAUUAAAAUUUGGUUUAAAAAUUCUAAUGAAACCAACUUAUUUGGCUUCUUUUUUGUUUUAAUGACAAUUUUUUAUCUCAUAUAGUUGAAUUACUUUUAUAUGGGGUCAAAAACUAUAAUGCAUUAGGGUCACUAUAAUAACCUUAAUAAAAUGUAGUAGAAUUUUGAAUUCAUAGGGGUCAACUGACCCCCCUAAUAUCACACUGCCUCCGCCCAUUCUUAUAGAAAUAUAUAAACGGGUAAGCGAGGAGCUGAACAAACUUUUCUUUUCUUAUAGAUUCAAGAAGCAAUGGAGUUAUGAGACAAUGUUACUGUGGUUAAAAUUUUCAUAACGAAAAUAAAACUUUUUUCUCUUUUUCAUAAAACUUUUUAUUUUUUGCCGUUAAGUUAUACGCUAACAAACUUAGCCGUCAAUUAUCUUUCUCAUAAUCAAAUAUCGGGUCUUCAGAUUUAUAGCUAGACCACAUUAUGACUCUAAAUUUUGGUUGCUAGAAUCUAGGUGACAUGAUAUAUCCAUCGUGCUAAUGAUUCUGACAUACAUGUAUGCGCUCGAACUACAGCUUCGAAUGGAGCCGCGUAUCGGAUGGAGCGGAUCAAGCGGAUAUAGCGUAUCAAGCAGAAUAAAAGCGGAUCAAGCAGAUCUGGCGGUACAAGUGUGGAUAAAGCGGCUGAACGCUUUGAAAUAUGUGUUGAAUGGUGAAAACAGAUCAAACGGGGCGGGUAAAGUAUUUCUAUUGCGUAAAAGACGUUAAUUUAAAUAUAACAUUUUACAUAAACGAUACAUACUAAAAAUAAUUAUAUUAAAAUAAAUUUAUAACAUUGUUUAACAUAUUCUUGAUUAUAAUCUAUAAAUGCAAUAAAAUAUUUAUUAUUAUACAUAUGUAAAACAUUAAACAAAAAAUAGUUUAAAAAAAAUAUAUAUCAAGUAUUUGAUUUAUGUUUUUAUGUUUCUGUAAAUUUUGGUUAAGUUUAAAUGAUCCAAAAAAAAAAAGUAUUUGCAUUUAAGAAAUCUGAUCACAAAAGAAACGCAGUUGAAACACUCAUUAUUUGCCGUGUUAUUAAUGUAGUUAGCAGAUCAUGGAUUUUGUUCAUAUUAUUGAACCGCAAGUGGUUCGUUCAAUAUUUAAUUACUUUUACAAUUGAGCUGCUUUCUAAUAAAAUAAAAUGGCGAAUGGGUAAGAUAAAAGCGUUUCUCUCUGACCCACGUUUCGACGUCCAAUUAACCGUUCUCCAUUCAUAGCCUACGCUUAGCGAAGGUGAAAGUAGCGUCUUCUAUGCGAAGACAUUAAAUGCAUAUCAUGAUGACAUUUUCUCACAUCUAAUUCAGCCUAUUUUGCGCCUUCUAUCCAUACAGUGGCGAACCCAGAACAAUAUUUUACAUGGAUCAAAAUUUAUUUAAAUAUAAAAAAAAAUAACGAAAAAAAAUCAUCUUAUGAAUACAUUUUCUAAGUUCAAAUUUUCUCAUAAUGUUUUAUUUGUUUUCUUAUUUUUAGUAGUUAAAAACAUUAAAAAAAAAUCUUAAAUUUAAUAAAAUAUAUCAAAAAAUUUUUAUGAAACCCACGUUUUAACUAAUAACAAAUGAAUAAAAUCUAUUUUUUAUCGAAUUUGCUAGGAAUGAAAGAUAAAAUGUCAAUAUGAUCAAAUUUGGUAUUUAAUGAAAGAUUACAAUAUGAAUAUCUUAUAGAAAAAAUAGGAACUAUAGUUAUUCGCAAAGAAUACAAAAGGAAUACAACAUUUUUUGGGGGGAAAAACCAUCUAAAUAAAGAAAUGGAUGCCGGAAAUUUUUGUAUAAUGGAGUCAAUUAAGGAUAAGUGCUAUAAUUAGUAAACAAUUUGGUAAUUUAAGAUGGGUCAAUUGAACUCUCUAAAUUGCAUGUGGGUCCACCCCUGCGUACUCGUGAUCUCUUUUUCUAACGAUUUAUCACUUACAUAAGUUUAUGAUAUUUUAUGUACUUCAACAUUUUAUUAACCAACGAUUCUGGUAGUUAAAAUAUUUAUGAGAUAGAUGAAUCAUUAUACAAAAAUUAUAUUAAAAAAUUAAAAAACAACUCAGACUUAAGUAUAACUAAUUCCCUUAAAAAAAAUGCUUUUUGGGUUGCUCAUAGCUAUGCAUAGUAUGCCUAUCCAUAGGGAUGUUGUCGUGGGUAAAUGAGCCCAGCCCAACCCAUCCAUUCCAUUGUCCAUUGAAUGGUUUACGGACCGAACAUGAUCAAGGUAGUGGCAUUGGAUAAAUCUUGUUGGUUAAAUACGAAAUGAUCUCAUUAGAUUUAUAGGGUAAAAAAGAUGUUUAUCAUCUCUUGAUACUGAACUAGAAACACUUUUAUGAGCAACUCAAUGUUUAGUUGAAAAAGUUUUGAUUUUAAUAUUAAUGGAAUGAGAUUGUUCAGACUUAUGCCGAAUGAUUGGCUAUCAAGCGGAUUGGCCUGAUUUAGAAUUGGAAUUUUUUUCCUGAUUUUAAGAGAUCUUUCUAGUUUAUCAUUAUGUUUAAUUUUUCAGUGUACUUCUAAUGUAUGGACUGAUUUCCUUGCCAAAGGAACACACGAACUUUCCAUUUUUCUAGAGCGGCCCCAUUUUGAGGUGAGCAUUUUACCAUUGUAAUCUAAUAUAAUCAUCAUAAAUAUUAAUUAUUGACAUUUUUGUUGUUCAAACUCGAUUGUAAAAAUAAUAAAUGUACCAAGUAGAUCACUAAAAUGGGUGUUGAUUUAUCACUUACAGAAGUUUAACAAGUUAAUAUGUAUAGAUUUUAGGGCCCUCAAAUAGUACAAAAAUAAACUACAUAUAGAUCAUGAGGCUCCAAAACCGUAAUUGUUUGUGGCUCUAUAAAUCUCAGGGCCGACCCUGGAUGGAAAAAGUUUUUAUGAAAAUAUGUAAAAGCGGCCCAUUUAUUUAUUUUUGUUGCGGCCUUCUAAAACUCGGGGUUUAAUCGUAAUUAUCUUGACCUAGUGUCAUUAAUAUCCUCCAUAUAUAUAUAUAUACAUAUAACAGUUUGUGUAAGAAAUCAUACAAUUUAGAUUUGUAUCGUAGCUUUCGAAAACCUAAACUCUCAUCUCUUUUUUUCCCCUUCUCUAGCGCCAACUUUUCUUUUGUCUUCUCUGAUGGCCCCCUAUCAGCGAAACAAUCACCACUGCUUUAUUACGGUAUAUCUCUAAGAGGUACGUACCCCUAUCAUGUGAUGAACUGGUAGUGAUUGGAUCUUCCAUUAUCACAGAUUUUUGUUGUGUCAUUUGCAGAUCUAGAAUUGGGAUGCUCUUGUGAUUGCCAAAUCUGAAGAGGGCUUGGGGCCUACGUUUUCUCUCAGAUAGUAGACAUAACAAUUGAACCAAAAUUUAGUGAAGAUCUUAUUUAUGAUUACUUAGAUAUGAUUCGAGAAUUUGAUCUCUUUUCCCUUGGUUUUCUUUUUCAUGAGGAUUGGGAGGGCUUAAAAGAGAUAAACAGUGAUUUCGAGGCUAUGAAAGACACCAAAAAUUAAAGAAAAGGCUUCUCUUUUCUUUCGUUGGGGAGAGAGAAAAUAUUAUGCUGAAAUCAAGGUAGAGAGAUUGUGUUGUUUGAUAUAGUUUUGGAUGAUGUUAUGGGUUGACAACAUUUAACAGAAAGUUUUUUGCUGAGAUCAAAGUAUCUCUAUAUGCUUGAAGAUUUUGGACAACACACUAUUUUGUAGAAAACAUCGGAUGGAAAGAAAUGACGAGACGCGCACCACCAAGGAGUUUCACCUACUUAUUUGAGGACUCUGCAUCUUUGAUGUUUGCUUUAGAUGAAAUAUGGAUUUUUGACUGAAUAGACUUUCACUAGUAAGUAUUUAUGAUUAAGCAAUUAAAAAAUCAAUUAAAAUCUGAUCUUUUGUGUUGGUUGAAAAUGCUUUUGGUGAUGCUUAAGAACUUUAAUUUUUCUUUUUGAUAUCAAAAAGAAAAUACUUUGAAAAUAAAAUAUUUUCCUUCGAUUGAUAUGUUAUUUUAUCUAGAAAUUGCAAUUGAAAGUUAUUGAUAAUAUUGGUAAACAUUAGUAGUUUUUCAAUUGUAUUCUUGUGCGUGUUUGCUGAUAUAAAAGUUUUUCAUGUCUUGUCAUAUUCAGAGUUUGACACAUUGUAGAUCAACAUAUAUUGCAUAGCUAGAUAUAUAUGUUUUCAAUUAAUAGAGACUCUGAUUUGCUUAGGCUAUAAGGAGUUAGUCGUUAUGACUCAUUGAAUAUAUAUAUUUCUAUAUGCAGAAUUAUUAAUUACUAAUAGCAUCUUCAAAUGUAAUAGAGUGUAUGGUUUAGUUAACCAUAUAUUUGAUUCUGUAAUGUAAACCGGUAUACUAUAAACCAGAUUUGCCUCUUACUAUAAAACAAAACUUUGUACGUCACUUUGACUUUAAUGAGAAAUACAGAGCUUCUUCUACUUUUAGACUGUAACAAACUUUUCUCUAUUAUGGUAUCAGAGCGUUGAAUCUUCAAGAUUCAACCGAUUCUUCUUCGUUUUUCCGCUUCAAUCUAUGAUGAUUCUCAUUGUUUGAUCUUCUUCUCGAUAGAUUCGUCUGGUUUAUGUAACGGAAUCAUAAAUAUCGAUCGACUUUUCUUUGUUUUCCGGUUGUUUUCGCCGUAAAACUUCUUUUCUGAUGGCUGUAACUCGUAAAACUAAUCGUCGCACGGUUCGCGUAGCUUCGUCAGCUCGCAGAUCGGUUAAUCGCGGAGAUAAUUCAUCUGAGAGUUCACCGGAAGAUCCUCCUCCGAUUCCUCCUCCAGUUCCUGUUUUCAUAGCUCCGAUUGAGAAUUUGGAUAGCAUUCAUUCACCGUAUCAUCUCUCUAAUAGUGAUAAUCCUGGUAUUUCUAUAAUUUCUGAGUUCUUGAUGGAACAAAUUAUGAUGAUUGGCAAAUAGCGAUGAAAACUUCGUUAGAUGCGAAAAACAAAUUAGCGUUCAUUGAUGGAUCUAUAUCUAGACCUAGUGCAACAGCUACUAUAUUCAGGAUUUGGUCAUGUUGCAAUAUAGUAUGGUGAAAUGUUGGCUAUUGAAUUCAGUAUCGAAACAGAUUUACAAAAGCAUUCUUCGUUUUGAUGAUGCAUCUGAGAUUUGGAAGGAUCUAUCCACUCGAUUUCAUAUCACAAAUCUUCCACGAUCAUACCAAUUGUCUCAGCAGAUUUGGUCAUUACAGCAAGGCUCAAUGGAUCUUGCUACUUACUAUACCACUCUGAAGACUUUGUGGAAUGAGUUAGAUGGUGCUAAUUGGGUUACAGUUUGUCGAAAUUGUGAUUGCUGCAAGACUAUGGAGAAAAAGUCAGAACACACUCGUGUUAUUAAGUUUAUGGCUGGUUUAAAUGAAUCUUAUGCAGUCAUUAGAAGUCAGAUCAUCAUGAAAAAGCAUGUUCCUGAACAUGCUGAGAUAUACAACUUGUUGGAUCAAGAUUUGAGUCAGAGAACCAUUGCUCCUAUUCAAAAUGCAGUGACAUUUAAUGUUUCAGCGGGAGAACCAACUCAGAUCUCUGUUAAUGCUACUUAUAAUCACUCAAGAACACAACAGAAGGUGAUUUAUUCUCAUUGUGGAUAUACUGGUCAUACUGUUGAUAAAUGUUACAAGAUCCAUGGGUACCCCAUUGGUUUCAAGCAUAAAAACAAGUCUACUCAGCAGGAUAAGCGGUCUGUUGCUCCUAUCAAACCUGUUGUUUCUCAACUUGCUUUGACAAGUUCUACUUCGAGUGAUUUGCUUGCGGGAAUGGCAAAAAAUCGGACUAAGGAUCAAAUUCAAGGUGUUCUUGCUUACUUUUCUGCACAACUCAGUGAUGAUAUGGCUUCACCUUCUACUGGUGCUUCUUCUUCUGGUGCCACUAUCAAUGCAUUACCUGGUAUGGCUUUCUCUUCCUCCACUUUACAUUUUGUUGGAGCAUUGAGAGCAACAGGGAAUGUUUUAUGUUCUGAAUCAUGGAUAAUAGAUAGUGGUGCUACACACCAUGUGUCUCAUGAUAAAAAGUUGUUUCGGAUUUUAUCUGAAACAUUGAAUGAUUCAGUCACUUUACCUACUGGUUUUGGAGUGAAAAUCACAGGAAUAGGUACAGUGGAACUAAGUGAUCACAUGAUAUUGCAGAAUGUGUUAUAUAUUCCAGACUUUCGGUUAAAUUUGCUGAGUGUGAGUCAGUUAACUAGAGAUUUGGGAUAUAGAGUAAGUUUUGAUGAUGGUGGUUGCUUGAUACAGGAUCAUAUCAAGGGGUUGAUGAUUGGUAAAGGUGAUCAAAUCUCCAAUCUCUAUGUUCUGGAUACACAUUCUCUCAUGAAGGAUUCAGCUCAACCUCUUGCUUUUUCUGCAACUAUUGUUGAUUCUAGUUUAUGGCAUAAUAGACUAGGUCAUCCAUCUAUGAUUAGAACAGAUAUUGUUACAGAUGUACUUGGUUUUAAACAAAGGAAUAAAGAUAAUUUUCAUUGUGCUAUUUGUCCCUUGGCCAAACAAAAGAAAUUAUCAUUUCCAUCCAAGAAUAACAUUUGUGACUCUGCUUUUGAUCUAUUACACAUUGAUAUAUGGGGUCCGUUUUCUACUCCUACAACAGAAGGAUACAAAUACUUUCUAACCAUUGUUGAUGACCAUACUCGAGUAACAUGGUUGUAUUUGUUGAAAGCAAAGUCUGAAGUAUUGCAGAUUUUUCCGGACUUCUUAAAAAUGGUGGAAACACAGUACAAGACUACAGUAAAAGCAGUUCGUUCUGACAAUGCACCUGAGCUCAAGUUUGUUGAUUUGUAUAAGAACAAGGGCAUCAUGGCUUACCAUUCAUGUCCAGAAACUCCGGAGCAAAACUCUGUUGUUGAACGAAAACAUCAACAUAUUUUGAAUGUUGCUAGGUCCUUAAUGUUUCAGUCAAGAGUUCCUGAAGAGUAUUGGGGAGAUUGUGUUCUCACCGCAGUCUUUCUUAUCAACAGGCUCUCUACACCAUUACUGCAGAAUAAAUCACCUCAUGAAGUUCUCACCUUCAAGAAACCAGACUAUGCACCCUUAAGAGUCUUUGGUUGUUUAUGCUACAGUUUAACUUCCUCUAAGAACAGGAAUAAGUUUCAACCCAGGGAAGGCUUGUAUCUUUCCUGGAUAUCCAAGUGGUUACAAGGGAUACAAAUUAUUGGAUCUGGAAACAAAUCAGGUACACAUCUCAAGGAACGUUGUGUUUCAUGAAUCUAUCUUUCCCUUCAGUUCAGGUGAUUCUACUGGUCCUUUUUCUGAAAUUUUUGGCAGCAUCAAUAAUUCUGUUGAUGAGAAUUCUCCUGAAAACGUUUACAGUAACAUUCCUGCAGUUGUGAGUGAAACUUCUUCUUUAAGUGAAUCUCCUGCAGUUGUGAAUGACUCUGUAAAUGUUGAUUCUCCUAUAGUUUCAGCUCCACCACCUGUUUCAGCUAAAAGGCCAGUUAAGCAACCUGCUCACUUGAAGGAUUAUUACUGUAAUCUGACAGGAAAAGGAGUUCAAUAUCCUUUGUCUAAUUACAUGUCUUAUGAUCAGCUGUCAACCCCAUAUCGAGCCUAUAUAUGUUCAGUCACAAAAUAUUCAGAACCGAGCUCUUUCUCUCAAGCUAAGAAGUCAAAUGAUUGGCUUCAAGCUAUGAAUGCAGAGUUAACGGCUUUAGAAGGCACUGCUACAUGGGAGAUUUGUUCAUUGCCUUCAGAUAAGCAGGCUAUAGGCUGUAAAUGGGUAUAUAAGGUGAAACUCAAUGCUGAUGGAAGCUUAGAGCGAUAUAAAGCUCGUCUCGUAGCUAAAGGCUACACGCAACAAGAAGGAGUAGAUUUUGCAGACACAUUUUCACCAGUGGCUAAGAUGACAACAGUCAAGACCUUACUUGCUGUUGCAGCUGCUAAGAAAUGGAGUCUUCAUCAGUUAGAUAUCUCCAAUGUGUUCUUAAAUGGUGAUCUCAAUGAAGAGAUUUAUAUGACCUUGCCACCAGGUUACACACCAAAGGACGGAGAAGUUAUUCCUCCCAAUGCAGUUUGCAAAUUAAAGAAGUCCCUUUAUGGCUUAAAACAAGCCUCUAGACAGUGGUUCUUGAAGUUUAGAUCCACGUUAAUGUCUCUGGGGUUCCAACAAUCUCAUGCUGAUCAUACCCUAUUCGUUAAGAAUGUUAAUGGGAAGUAUCUUGCUGUUCUUGUCUAUGUAGAUGACAUAGUAAUAGAUAGUAACAAUGAUGAGGAUGUGAUUCAAUUGAAAGGAGAUUUGAAGAAAGCUUUUAAGCUUCGAUAUUUGGGGUCUUUGCAAUAUUCUUAGGAUUGGAAAUCGCAAGAUCAGCCUCAGGUAUAUCUGUUUCACAGAGGAAGUAUGCCUUAGAUGUGCUAGAAGAAGCUGGAAUGUUGGCUUGUAAGCCUUCUAACAUUCCUAUGGAACCAAGUAUUAAACUGGUGGGUGAUGGUCCAGAACCAGUCAUUGAUGAUCCUGCCUCCUAUAGACGACUUGUUGGGAAACUGAUGUAUCUUACAAUAACUCGUCCUGAUAUCACUUUUGUUGUGAAUAAAUUGUGUCAAUAUACAUCAGCUCCUAAGGCGACACACAUGAAGGCAGCUCACAAAGUGUUGGCUUACAUUAAAGGCACCAUUGGGAAUGGUUUGUUCUAUUCUUCCACUUCUGAUUUUGUGCUAAAAGGAUUUACAGAUGCUGAUUGGGCUUCCUGCAAGGAUACAAGACGAUCAACAUCUGGCUACUGUGUGUUUUUGGGAGAUUCACUCAUCUCCUGGAAGUCUAAAAAGCAGCAAAUGGCUUCUCAUUCUUCUGCAGAAUCGGAGUACAGGGCCAUGCAGUAUGCUGUCAGAGAAAUAGUAUGGUUGGUGAAUCUUUUGAAUGACCUCAAGGUACCUCAACUUGCACAUGUGGCUUUCUUUUGUGAAUCUACUACAGCUAUACACAUAGCCAACAACUCUGUUUUUCACGAGAGAACAAAACACGUGGAGCUGGACUGUCACAUUGUCAGAGACAGAAUUUUGAGUGGCUUGAUCAAAACUCUACAUGUCAAGAUAGAUUUACAGCUUGCAGAUGCGUUUACUAAGCCACUGUAUCCAGCACAGUUCAAAGCUCUCAUUGGCAAGAUGUCAUUGAAGUCUAUCUAUAUGCCAUCUUGAGGGGGCAUAAUAGAGUGUAUGGUUUAGUUAACCAUAUUUUUGAUUCUGUAAUGUAAACCGGUAUACUAUAAACCGGAUUUGCCUCUUACUAUAAAACAAAACUUUGUACGUCACUUUGACUUUAAAGUCAAAGUGACGUACAAAGUUUUGUUUUGGAUAUUUCAAAAUUAAAAUAUUAAUACUUUAAUAUUUUAAUUUAAAACAUUUAAGAAACCAAUAAAAAAGUAUAAAUGUCAAGAAAACUGAUUCUCAUAUGGUUAAUGUUUUUGAAAAUGUUACAAAAAUUAGUCAACUUAUAUAAAGACAUUAUUUGUCUUUUGACAAAUAGGGAAAAAACCCGAAAAAACCGCCAUCUAUUUUUUUUUUGGCCGUUUAAUACCUGUGUUUUUAAAUUUGGAAUAAAAAUACCUCAUUUAGUUUCGAUUGCCUUUUAAAACUAUCGUUUUUUAAAACUUGGUAAUUUCGAACCCGACACUUAACAGUCGUUACUGGGCGUAACGGAAUUAUUUAACGGCGUUAAAUUUUAACCGGCAAAAAACCCGAAAAAACCGCCAUCUAUUUGUUUUGGCCGUUUAAUACCUGUGUUUUUAAAUUUGGAAUAAAAAUACCUCAUUUAAUUUCGAUUGUCUUUUAAAACUAUCGUUUUUAAAAACUUGGUAAUUUCGAACCCGAAACUUAACAGUCGUCACUGGACGUAACACAAUUAUUUAACCGCGUUAAAUUUUAACCCCACGAGUUUAUAUAAAUAUAUACUAUCUGUUUGCAUAUAAAUAUAUACUAUCUGUUUGCAUGUUAGUUUUGUAAACCUUAGAAGCUGGGUUUGACUCUUCAAGACUUCAACCUCAUUUUUUUUUUUAUUAAUUUCUUUUUGUGUUCUUCGUCUUCUUCGCCGGUGGUGACGACGACUUCUUCUUCUCAGAUCUCCGAUGAUGCAAACUAGUCUCUCUCUCUUUCUCUUCUUCACUCGAAUCUCUUUUUAGAUAAUGGAUUUUUGCCGAGAUCCAUCCCAUUUAUGUAUAGAUCUGAUCUGAUUGAUGUCGAUUUAGUUGCUGUUCUUUUUCAAUGGUAGAUCUAAUUGCAGAAUCGAUUUGUUGAAAUCGCUCUAUGAUUCAUCUUUUGUUUGCAUUUCGAGUCUUAACUUUGUACUGAUGGGAAGUUAUUCGAAGUGGAGAACAAAGAGAAAAAAAACAUGUUUAAGAUUCAAACCCGGAUCUGGUGGUUUAAAAAAAGACACACGCUACCACUAAACCACAUUGACAUUCUCGUAAUGUGUUGUGAGCAGUUUGUAUAUAUUUAUAUAAACAUGUGGGGUUAAAAUUUAACGCUGUAAAAUAAUUCUGUUACGCCCAAUAACGACUGUUAAGUCUCGGAUUUGAAAUUACCAAGUUUUAAAAAACAAUAGUUUUAAAAGGCAAUCGAAAUUAAAUGAGGUAUUUUUAUUCCAAAUUUUAAAACACAGGUAUUAAACGGCAAAAAAAAAAAUAGAUGGCGGUUUUUCUUGGUUUUUUCCCGGUUAAAAUUUAACGCCGUUAAAUAAUUCCGUUACGCCCAGUAACGACUGUUAAGUCUCGGGUUCGAAAUUACCAAGUUUUAAAAAAUGAUAGUUUUAAAAGGCAAUCGAAAUUAAAUGAGGUAUUUUUAUUCCAAAUUUAAAAACACAGGUAUUAAACGGCCAAAAAAAAAAUAGAUAGCGGUUUUUUUAGGUUUUUUCCCUUGACAAAUAUAAUAACUUACAUAUUAUUGAAAAUUUAAUUUUUGGAAAAAACAAACGGGUUCAACUAGAUUUUCAGGAUUGUUUGAGUGAGUUUCAUCUUCUUUUGUUUAGGAUUCUGCCAUUUCUUAUAUUCUCUUGAGAUUCCACAUAAAAGAAAUAACCAGCGACUUGAACUUCUUAUGAUUUUGAGCGUGUAUGCUCAAUAGCCUAUAAAUACGAUAGUCGAUUAGUUCAAGCGACUUGAGGUGGAUGUAUUUGCUGAAAAUUGCAUCUAUCAUCUCUUUCAAUCACUUUGGUCCGCAUAAGCUAGUGUCCUCAAGAACAUUAGGUCUUUGGAAGCAUUAUUUGGUAGUUCAAAUUUACACCAUCGAUGGCCACGGUUUAGCCAUGGACAUUCGUGGCUAAUUUCAUUCCAGCCACGAAUUAGUCACUUAACAAUAACGUGACAAUUUUCGUGGCAUUUUAGUGGUUUUUCGUGGCUAAUAUUUGCCACGGAUUUUAUCUGUAACAAAUUCGUGGCUAAAUAUAGCUACGAAAUUAUUCCAUAGCUAAAUCGUGGCUAUUUGCUACGAAAAAGCCACAAAAGUUUCGUGAUUAUUUUAUUUUCGAAUUUAUUUUAUUAUAUAGCCACGAAUUUGUCACUAAUUUAUCCGUGGCUAGACGAAAACCUUAAUCUUAAAGACAAACUCUAAAUUUAUAAACUCUAAACAAAAAUCUAAUUACCAAUGUAUACCCUAAUUAAAAUUAAGAUCCAACACUUUUAUAAAAUUCUUAUUUUUAAAUCAAACAUUUCAAAUCUAUACCCCAAACCCUCAAUUUAACUCCAAAUCCUAAAAUCUAAACUUUAAUUAAAAUUUUCAUUAUAGAAAUUAAACCAUAAACUCUAAAAAACAAAAUCUAAUUAAUAUACCCAACAACUAAGACAUUUUGUCUACCAUUUAUAUUUAAUAUACCAAAUACUACUGCAAAUUGCAAAAUUAAUAAACCAAAUAAUAAUGACUUCUUUUGGUUAGUUCAUAAACUAUAUCCAACGGACACAAAGUUUCUCAAUUGUUUUUCUUCUCCUUUUCUCAUCUUCGUCACCUUCCACCUUCCACCUCUCAUUUCAGCUUUCACAGGGGGAGACUUGGAGAGUGAGAAAGAAAGAGAUUGCAGGUGAGUGUGUGAAUCAAUGAGUAGAGCUGGUGAAGUGGGCCUCUCUCUGAUUCUUUUCCUCUCCUUUUCUCAUCUUCGUCACCUUCCACCUUCCACCUCUUCUCCUCAUCCAAGAGAGCACACCUCCUCCGCCAACCCCCAAAACUAUAACAUAGAAGGCUAAGCCACAACUACGACGUCGUUCACCACCACCACCACCACCAUUGACAAAGUUCAACGGAUCGGCGCCGUGACAUCAGCCAUGGAUUUCAACGCAACGACGCGUCGACGCCGUCACAUCAGCCAUGGAGUCUGAUCCAAGUUCCGAUUGCUGUAAUGUUUUUAACGGGCAACAAUGAGAGCUCCUAGAUCCGACGCCACGAGACCACCGAAGAUGCUUGACGGAAGAAGACAUCUCGUGAAACAUUUUUUAAUUUUUUUUUGUUAAAAUCAUUGUGUUUUAUAAAUUAAUUAAUUUUACAUUUUAAUUUAUAAAUAAUAAUCUUUUUUGUUUCCGU